AUUAGGAUGUCUGAUAAAAGAGAUAAAUUGUAAAUUUAUUUAUGAAUAAAAAUUCUCCUAAUA
rnacentral:tRNA from 1 species